rnacentral:rRNA from 1 species
AGUGAACGCUGGCGGUAGGCCUAACACAUGCAAGUCGAACGGCAGCACAGUAAGAGCUUGCUCUUACGGGUGGCGAGUGGCGGACGGGUGAGGAAUACAUCGGAAUCUACUUUUUCGUGGGGGAUAACGUAGGGAAGCUUACGCUAAUACCGCAUACGACCUACGGGUGAAAGCAGGGGAUCUUCGGACCUUGCGCGAUUGAAUGAGCCGAUGUCGGAUUAGCUAGUUGGCGGGGUAAAGGCCCACCAAGGCGACGAUCCGUAGCUGGUCUGAGAGGAUGAUCAGCCACACUGGAACUGAGACACGGUCCAGACUCCUACGGGAGGCAGCAGUGGGGAAUAUUGGACAAUGGGCGCAAGCCUGAUCCAGCCAUACCGCGUGGGUGAAGAAGGCCUUCGGGUUGUAAAGCCCCUUUGUUGGGAAAGAAAAGCAGCAGGUUAAUACCCCGCUGUUCUGACGGUACCCAAAGAAUAAGCACCGGCUAACUUCGUG